GAUGAACGCUGGCGGCGUGCCUAAUACAUGCAAGUCGAACGCAUUGAGAGAAGUGCUUGCACUAUUCAAUUUGAGUGGCGAACGGGUGAGUAACACAUGGGCAACCUACCUGAUAGCGGGGGAUAACGAGUGGAAACAUUCGCUAAUACCGCAUAACAAUAGAGAAGGCAUCUUCUUUAUUUAAAAGGCGCUUUCAAGUGACACUAUCAGAUGGGCCCGCGGUGCAUUAGUUAGUUGGUGGGGUGAAGGCCUACCAAGACGAUGAUGCAUAGCCGAGUUGAGAGACUGAUCGGCCACAUUGGGACUGAGACACGGCCCAAACUCCUACGGGAGGCUGCAGUAGGGAAUCUUCCACAAUGGACGAAAGUCUGAUGGAGCAACGCCGCGUGUGUGAUGAAGGCUUUCGGGUCGUAAAGCACUGUUGUAUGGGAAGAAAUGCUAGGCUAGGAAAUGAGCUUAGUUUGACGGUACCAUACCAGAAAGGGACGGCUAAAUACGUGCCAGCAGCCGCAGUAA
rnacentral:rRNA from 1 species